rnacentral:rRNA from 1 species
AUACGAAGGGGGCAAGCGUUGUUCGGAAUAACUGGGCGUAAAGCGCACGUAGGCGGAAUGUUAAGUUAGAGGUGAAAUCCCAGGGCUCAACCCUGGAACGGCCUUUAAUACUGGCAAUCUAGAGACCGAGAGAGGUGAGUGGAAUUCCGAGUGUAGAGGUGAAAUUCGUAGAUAUUUGGAGGAACACCAGUGGCGAAGGCGGCUCACUGGCUCGAUACUGACGCUGAGGUGCGAAAGCAUGGGGAGCAAACAGGAUUAGAAACCCUAGUAGUCC